UACGUAGGUCCCGAGCGUUGUCCGGAUUUAUUGGGCGUAAAGCGAGCGCAGGUGGUUUAAUAAGUCUGAUGUAAAAGGCAGUGGCUCAACCAUUGUGUGCAUUGGAAACUGUUAGACUUGAGUGCAGUAGAGGAGAGUGGAAUUCCAUGUGUAGCGGUGAAAUGCGUAGAUAUAUGGAGGAACACCGGUGACGAAAGCGGCUCUCUGGACUGUAACUGACACUGAGGCUCGAAAGCGUGGGUAGCAAACAGG
rnacentral:rRNA from 1 species